GACGAACGCUGGCGGCGUGCCUAAUACAUGCAAGUAGAACGCUGAAGGAGGAGCUUGCUUCUCUGGAUGAGUUGCGAACGGGUGAGUAACGCGUAGGUAACCUGCCUGGUAGCGGGGGAUAACUAUUGGAAACGAUAGCUAAUACCGCAUAAGAGUAGAUGUUGCAUGACAUUUGCUUAAAAGGUGCAAUUGCAUCACUACCAGAUGGACCUGCGUUGUAUUAGCUAGUUGGUGGGGUAACGGCUCACCAAGGCGACGAUACAUAGCCGACCUGAGAGGGUGAUCGGCCACACUGGGACUGAGACACGGCCCAGACUCCUACGGGAGGCAGCAGUAGGGAAUCUUCGGCAAUGGACGGAAGUCUGACCGAGCAACGCCGCGUGAGUGAAGAAGGUUGUCGGAUCGUAAAGCUCUGUUGUAAGAGAAGAACGAGUGUGAGAGCGGAAAGUUCACACUGUGACGGUAUCUUACCAGAAAGGGACGGCUAACUACGUG
rnacentral:rRNA from 1 species